rnacentral:misc_RNA from 1 species
GAUGAAGAACGCAGCGAAAUGCGAUAAAUAAUGUGAAUUGCAGAAUUCAGUGAAUCAUCGAGUCUUUGAACGCACAUUGCGCCCCCUGGUAUUCCGGGGGGCAUGCCUGUCCGAGCGUCAUUGCUGCCCUCAAGCACGGCUUGUGUGUUGGGCCCCCGUCCCCCCCUCCCGGGGGACGGGCCCGAAAGGCAGCGGCGGCACCGCGUCCGGUCCUCGAGCGUAUGGGGCUUUGUCACCCGCUCUGUAGGCCCGGCCGGCGCCUGCCGACCACCAUCAAUCUUUUUUCAGGUUGACCUCGGAUCAGGUAGGGAUACCCGCUGAACUUAAGCAUAUCAAUAAGCGGGGA